AUUUUAGUAAAUUUGACAUACUGCUCUAUUUUGCAGAACUAAAAAAUUUUCUGUUUUUCAAAUAUAACUUAAUCUAGCAGGAGUUAAACUAGGUUUCGGAAGGUCUAAACUGUAUCCCGGCCAUUUACCAGUACCUGUGGCGCACCUCGCUAACCAAAAAAACACUAUAUUUGGAUGGUGUUGUUUUGAUGCUGAACUAUUGACUGAAACUUCCGCAUCCUUACAUCUAACAUUUUUGAGGUUUGAAGCAGAGGCAGUGGUUCCAUCUCGUUCGAAAAAAGAUGGAUGGUUAUUUUAGCCAACUUGUGUUCAUGCAAUGAAAGCUACCUAUAAUAAUUUUCCAAUCGUUGAUUUCUGCAACAAGCUUAGACUUGAAAGAGUUAAAGUAACUGGAUGUCAUUAAAUUUGACAGUAAUUAUUGCUAUUUUAAUUGUUUUAUAUGAAUAAAAAAACUAUUAUAGUUUUAUUUCAACGGUGAAGUACUAUAUCAAAUAAACUAUUUUAUAUUUAUUUCGGAAUAAGUAAUAUUUUAAAUCUGUUUAUGGUAUUAUUAUUGCCUAGAUAUAUAUCGUAAUCUGUUUACACUUAUUCUACAUUUUUGUUUUUACAUUUUGUUUAUAUUUAUUUUACUAAUUAAUUACUAAUCAAUAAAGAAGUAUGUGCAGGAUUUAAGUUCACGACUAAAGAGGACUCCAAAGAAGAAUGGAAUAAAGUUCUGGUGGAUUAAAGAUCGAGGAAUGAUUUGGUUUUAACUGGUUUGCAUCUUAUGAACGAAGUACAUAAUAUGAUUUGAUGAUUUAUAGUUACACCUAUUGAAAUUCUGUAUCUCAAUGAUAUCCUGGCUUUUCGAUACGAUAUCCUGUAAAUCCACUCACACACAUAAAUUUUACCCACACAUGUAAAUCCUGUAAACUCACUCACACACAUAAAUCUUAAAAAAGAUGUUUAUAUUUUUAUCUAUAAAUUGUAAAUUUUAUAUAAAUAUAUUGUAUAUUUUU